UAUCCAAAAAUUGAUAUUUUCUUCCAAAAAGAAAAAAAACUAGAUUCAUGAUGAACAUAUCAAUUUUAUUAAGACAUUCAAGAAUUUGGGUAAGCAAAGUGAAUUAUGAAGGUUACAAAAGUGACAAAAUUGUUGUUGGACAAUCAAUUUCAUUCUUGAAUCUCAAAGCAACCAUAUUAGACGAGUUAGAGAUAGAAGAGGGAAGGAAAAAUAUAAAAAUUCAUACAUCGUGGAAGGUAAUUCAUCUCCGAUGAAAAUUAAGAACGACAUGGGUGUUAGGCUAUAUUUAAAAGUGAGAAAAAUGAGUCUGGAUUUUCAAUGUAUCAAUUAUGUAUUGAUAGAAUGGAUAAGAUUGGUGAUGAAAUACAUAACUUUGAUGGAACUUGCGGAGAGAUUACGUGUAUCGAAGGUACAACAAGGGAUACAAAAGAUCUUGCAGCGUUUGAAUCAAGACUUUGUGAUUCAAUUAUAUUUCAGAAUGAGAAGUUACAAAUUACGUAAUUGAUUCAAACAAUAGAGAUGUGAAGACAUGUCAAUUGUACAAGGAUAAGGCAACACUGUGAUGACGAAAUAUAAAAUAAAGUACAAUUUCAAUUGCAAAGUAAAACGAUCUUAUAGACAAAGGUUGUUUUAUCAUCUGAAUUUAUUUUCUCGAUUUAUGAAGUUAGAAGAAGAUACAUUGUUUGUCUUGAGAAGAAAAAAAGUGCUUGUUGCAAAAUUCAACUAGAUGAGAUUCCUUGCGCACGUGCAAUUGCGUUUUGAAGGACAAAAAUGUUACAUGUAUGUAUCAUUAUUGCUCUGAUUACUACAAAUCUGAUUCAUUAGCAAAAGUUUAUGAGGCUCAAUAUUAGAUAAAGAAGAUUGGUCAAUUCCUACAAUGUUGUAGAUGAAAGUGUAUCGCCACCUAGAUACAAAAGAUUGGUUGGACAUCAAGAAAAAGAAGAAAAAUAUGCAGAUGAAAAAAUAAAAGUAAACACGAAUAGUUGUGGCCAAGAAGGUCACAACAAAAGAACUUGUACUUUCUUUUCAAAAGUAAAGUGAAAUCGUUAUUUUAAUAAAACAUUCAUGCUUUCUUGAAUAA